rnacentral:rRNA from 1 species
AAACGAAUGAUCCGGUGCUUGCACCGGUGAUUAGUGGCGAACGGGAGAAAAACACGUGAGUAACCUGCCCUUGACUCUGGGAUAAGCUUGUGAAACUGGGUCUAAUACCGGAUAUGACCUUCCAUCGCAUGGUGGUUGGUGGAAAGCUUUUGUGGUUUUGGAUGGACUCGGGGCCUAUCACCUUGUUGGUGAGGUAAUGGCUUACCAAGGCGACGACGGGUAGCCGACCUGAUAGGGUGACCGGCCACACUGGGACUGAGACUCGGCCCCGACUCCUACUGGAGGCGGAGGUGGGGAAUAUUGCUCUUGGGCGAAAGCCUGAUGCUGACACGCCGCUUGAGGGAUGACGGACUUCGGGUUGUAAACCUCUUUCGCAGGGACAAAGCGAAAGU